rnacentral:misc_RNA from 1 species
GUUCUCCUGGGUUCAUGUAAUCUUCUGGGAGCCCACCUUCCUAGCCUGGUCCUUAACAGUAUAAUUAUUAAUCAAUUUUCUUAACUAGUGCAAGAAAUAAUGGAGAUUAAAUAUCUAACCUUAUCAGUUAUCACAAUAAAAAGAGAAUCUAUUUUGUUCUUUAGCUACUUGGUUUUGAGUUUCAAAGUUUUGGUCCUCCUAUUCUUGUGGAUAAUAACAUUGCAGUGGUAGAAGUUGAAUAAGAACUUAGUCAGCCUAAAAUUUUACGUGUCAAGAGUUCUGAGAGAUUUAGGUUGAAUAAGGCUAAAGAAAAUGAUAAAUGACGGUUGGAGAAGUGCAUGAUUUUGAUUUUAGGAUCUAGUGGCAGCGUGGCUAGUGCAUGAUUUCGAAGAAGCUGAUGAUUGAGAAUUUGGCUUCCAGUGAUAUAAAAAACAAGGUGAAGGAAUGCAGUUCAAUCUAGAAACUGUCAUAUCAG